rnacentral:lncRNA from 1 species
UUUUUUUUUUUUUUUUUUUUUGGCCAUACCCAUGGCAUGUGGAAUUUCCUGAGCCAAGGAUCAAACCUGUACCACAGCAGUGACACUACAGUAGCAGUGCUAGAUCCUUAACCUGCUGAGCCACAAGGGAACUCACAGAGUGAACACUCUUGACCAUGAGAGCAACAGGUCCUAGAAAUGGUGACCGUGUCCAUUAACCAAUUAGAAACGAGUUUGUCAAUGAUGUUGGGAGGAGUUUUAAGAUCCCAGAAGAGGAGUUCCCGUCGUGGUGCAGUGGUUAACGAAUCCGACUAGGAACCAUGAGGUUGAGGGUUCGAUCCCUGCCCUUGCUCAGUGGGUUAACGAUCCGGCAUUGCCGUGAGCUGUGGUGUAGGUUGCAGAUGCGGCUCGGAUCUUGCGUUGCUGUGGCUCUGGUAUAGGCCGGUGGCUACAGCUCCGAUUCGACCCCUAGCCUGGGAACCUCCAUAUGCCGCUGGAGCGGCCCAAGAAAUGGCAAAAAGACAAAAAAAAAAAAAAAUCCCAGAAGACAGUCAUUGGCUUCAUUCUAUAUAGGAUAUUCAUCAUCUACUCCACACAGGAACAUUUUCAGGAAAAGCAUAUUAUGACACUUAGCAUAAGUGUUUGUACCCUAUGGUCAGACAGUCCCCUGCCUUUCUAAUGCACCUUCCAACAAAAAAAUAACAACAGCAUGGUGGGCUGCUCCAAGACUCCUGAACAGGGGCCCUUGAUGUCCUGUCCAUGUGAUACCAAUCCAUGAUUUCUCCACCUUCGAGGAGUUCCAAGAGAGACAGUUGGCCCUUGAGACACUGGAGAUACAAAACCAAAGUGGGAUGAAGAGGCUCCUCCCACCUCACUCUUGCCCAGGAAUUUCCUCUAUCUUCCCAUACACUGUCCUCACCAAAUCACCCACCAGAAUUAGACCAAGAGCCUCAGGAAUCAGUCAAGACACAAGAUGGAGAGAGGGUUCAUAUUUUUUCUUUCAGUUGAUUGUUUUCUGAUUGCUUUAGGUCUGGCCUAGUGAAGCUGAAUCCAUCACUCUCAGUGGGUGGUGGGUGAGGAGAGGAACAGAUGCAGGAGUUUACCUAGGAUGCUUUAAACCUUGGCACAAAAAAGAAAGACAUGAGAAGCUAACCUGAAGGAGAGGCAGUUGCACAAAGUUAAGAGAGCAAAAGAGCCCCCUGGGCACCAGAAGGACCCAAUGUAGUAAGAAUUUUAAGAGGUGAUAAAGGUAACUUGCUGUCAAAGGAGGCAGAUACGGCUAAAGAACUAAGCACAAUUAAUUCCUUUCUCAAGCCACCAUAAAGGUGAAUGGCUACCAGAUGGUCAGACAGAAAUACCUGUCCACAGGCCAUGGAGAAAAAAAAAUAAAUGCCAGAAGAAAUCAGAUCCUCUACUGAGCAGGUGAGCAGGAAAUUAAAAUAUCUCUAUACUGACCACAACUCAAGACCACACAUGUUCACCAAGAGACGGUUAGGAAGGCAGUGUGACUAUGAGUUAGCAUCCGUCCUCUGCCUGCCGGCCCACACCCAGAGGGCAGUCACAGAUCUCCGCAGUGCUAGACCGAAAAAGCUGCCAAGAACCCAGCAAUUCCAACCGUGAUGAAGAUGGGAGAGCAGAUCCCAGAGCCACUGGGUAGAAACCAGCCCACAUCCCAGACUCUGUCACUAGACCAAGCAACAGUAUCUUUUCCUGGGUACUUACUAGGAACCAAGAACAUGGCUGGGAUCUUUCUAAGGGCCCCACACAGCUUCUAAAAUGGCUCUCACUGAUUCUGGUCUCCAGUGUAAUCCCUUCUCUUUAAGCAUGGGCUGGACUUGCUUCCAAUGAAUGGAAUAUGCCAAAAGGGAUGGGAUGUCACUUAUUCCCAUCGAAAAAAAUCUCCCUGAAUUUAUGUCUCGGAGACUCCACUCUGACCAGUGGUGACAAUCCUCAUCCUCUCUUUCUACCAUCCUUUCUGUGCCCUUGUUGCUACAUUCCUCCUGGAAGACACAGACACACACAGACACACAGACACACACACACACACAGAAGCCCUGGAGUAGGAGAGCGCUCAGCCUCCUCUUGCCAUUAUUCAGCUCCUUCCCAAUCAAUCUCCUGCCAACCACAAAUUAGCAUUACACAGGCAGUUAUAGUGCAGCCCCCAGGGACAGAUAGAAGCUGCUAAUCCUUCAGAAGGGGCACUGGUACAAUAGGGGAGCACCCGACAGGCUCCUUUGCAUCACUUUCCGCUCCUUUGUGAGCUGUCCAAGUCCACCGCAGGAGGCAAAGUUGUUGGGCCUCGAGCAAACAGACAUGGGGGGAGCCCAAGGAGCACCAAGCUUUGCCAGCGGCUGCCCAGCCACGUCCCUGAGCCUCCAUUCCCGGCAGGAGCCGCCCUUGGGUUGGAUUCCCUCUCAGAGCUUCCACCCGGGGCCUGGGCGCUCUUCCCUUCCCCAUUUUCACUGGUUAACCCUACACAUGGCCCCAAAUGGGAUCCACCUGGAGCUUGAAAGGCCCUGGGGCCAGGCCAGAAUCAGACCUGCUCUACCCGCAGCAACUUGGAUUAACGAAGCCCCCAGGGCUGGGGAGGGCUGGGGAGGGAGCAGAGACCGCUUGCUUUCUUCUCUUUUUCCGAAGGGAUUGAUUUGGCCUUCUUGAAGUCUGAUUGAGUUUUCUGAUCCCAGAGAAAGGCAGCCCUGGCUGGGUUCCCAGGGUCAUUUUUCUCCCCAGGUGCUGCCUUUCCUUGGGCCCCCGGAGCCCCGCAAAUGCUGCCCUUCCUUCCACAGUCCCGAAGGCUGGCCCUCACAGGGGCCACAUGCUGAAGCUCCCUGACCGUAUCUGCAGCCUGUCUGGAAAUGAGGGGAACUGGCCAGAGGGGAAGCCUCUUAUCACAAACAUUUCCUGCCCGUCCCCUCCUGACCCUGCAUACCGCAGCCCUUCCCUGGCUGGGUAGCGGGGCCCACCCACAGCAGCCCUGCAACUUCUGCAUCCAGAAUCUCCAAGGCCGGGUCCCCAGACCUAGCUCUACUGCAGAUUCUUCUCCAUCCACCACACCUCCCUUCUCCAGGGAGCUCAUAGAUCCCUAACCAGCUCCGUCCUUGAAAAAAACAGGCCACCCAAACCAGCUCCAUCCUUGAAAAACAUCCUUGAAAAAGGAAGUCAGGUGGAACCGGAAAGAAAGAGGAUAAAAGGCAGGUAAGGAUUUUCAGCUCAUGGAGAAAAUGUGACUCACAGAUGGAGUUCUGCCACCUCCUCCGGGACCCCCACUGUCCACCUCUGACAAAGAGAAACAGGCAGGAGGGAGAAAAGCCUGCACACCCCCUGAGGGUCCCUAUGUCUCUGCGCCUGCACAAGGGUCUGCUGAGUGGAGUUGAAGCCAUUUGGACUGUUAAGGUUGUGUGUGCUGAAGGCUGGGCCAGCAGGUCUUCGGCCAGCCGAGCCCAGCUGUGUUCAUGUGGUCGCGGAUCGCCUAGGUUCCUCUCCCCCCUACACCUGGGGCACCCUCCUCCCGCCCCUCCCUGUGGCCUGCUCUGGCCCCCUCUCUGCCUCCUGCCCCCAGCUUGCUGUGUGGUCCAAGCCCUCUGCCAGGAGAAGAGCAAGGGAGGGAGGGAUGGGCCGGCAUGUUUACAGUCAAGCAUAACUGAACCUUUAUUUUAAAUAAAUAAAACUUGUAGCCAGUUUUAUUUCCCUUUUCUUUCAAAACGCUGUUUUUCUCCCGCCUCCUCCCCUGCUCCUUUCCCAUCAGGGCUGAGCCUUUAACUGUGGGGCCACCCAGGGAGGGGCUGGAGCGGGGGAGGAACAGAGGCCGAGCUGACCUUGGUGCUUCGCGUCUUCUCGGGUCCUAUGACACCGCCCCCCACACUCAAAUGCCCACAGAGCCCCUGGGGUUCUUCUGAAUUCAGGGACGUCCAGGCCUGAGGAAUAGAGACUAAACAGGAAGCCCAGGCCCCAUCAGCAGCAUGUUGUCCAUCUGUUCUCCCCAGUCAUAGGGCUGCCCCCCUCAUCCCCACCCCACUAGGAAACUGCCAUCCAUCUGUCUUCCACUUUGGCCUGUCAUCUCUCUGUCUCCCCUGUUGGCCCCUCAUCCAUCUGUUCCUCCCACAGGACAACCAUUUCUCCGUAUCUCCUUUGGGUUGUCAUAAAUCUACCUUCCCCGUGAGAUGUCCCAUCUGUCCAUCAUCCUGCUGGCCUGUCAGUCCAUCCGAUCCCUUUAAUCGUGCUUUUUUGGUCCAUGCGCCCCCCUCCUCCCCCACACGGGAUGUACUUCUGCCCAUCUGUCUCCCUGAAUGGGCCUCGCAAUGGCAGGUCUCUGAGGUCUAGGAUCGGUUGAAAUUCUGUUCUGAUUUGAUCCCAGCAACAAUAAUCGUAGCUACCAUCCAUCAAGUACCUACUAUGUGCCACAUAUUGUACCUACCCUACCCCCCUUUAAUCCUCCUUCAGCCCUGAGGAUAGUUAUUCCUUCAUUUUACCAGUAAGGAAACCGAGGCCCAGGAGACUUAAAGGCCUUGCCUAAGGUCACCCGGCACCUAGUGGCAGAUACAGGCUCCAGAAACAGUUCCCUGCAUACCGACUGGGGGUAGGGACCCAGCCUUCUUACUCUUCCACCCCCAGGAUGUAAGACGCCCCCCUGGCCUCUCUGCGUAUUUAAUUUACACUUUGCUGCUGGAUAUUUUCGAACUGAUGAAGUUUCCUCCCUGCCCUGGCUCUGCACAAAAAGUGAAGGAAGAAAAGCAGCCAGAUGUGAGAAGGAUUCGAAGGUCUUUUGUGGGGGGUGGGGAUGGAGAGCGAUGUUAAGUAAACAUCUAAUGAUAUUCUUUCUGCAAAACGAUCCAUUUUCGUGGCACCCAGGAGUUCGUCCAAGGGUCUCUGGGUCACCGGGGAAAAGUGUUCGUGUGUUUUGGCUCCAUAUUCUUCCAUUGGCCACAAAGAGCUAAUUCUUUCAAUUAAUGAAAUCAGCACUGCUGAUGGAGCUGUACUGACAAAUUAUUUUCAAGACGGAUAUAUUCACACCGAUGGUGGGGCUGAUAGGCCUGAAGGAUUUGGAGGGUACAGCAUGAAGGUCCCCCACCAGCCAGAGACACUGGGGUCAUUCACGAUGGCCGAGAUGUUGGCCACCACCUCAAGGGACACGUCUCUCCGCCUGGAGCCAUGAAGGCUGGGCUGGGUUGUCUGUGUUAAGGGGCUGCCUAUCAAUGGGCUUCUGUAUGGCCCCAGCAGGUCCCCGGCACCCCUCCCCUCUCCCCCAGUGCCCCAGCCAAGUCCCCUUCAGGACCUGGUUUAAAGAACCUAUUCAGCAUGCAGGAUUCCCUGAUGGGACGUGAAAAAGAGAUAGAAGCUUCCACGGAGCUGAGCAAAAGCUGCAGACCUGGAGGCAGGAAGGGAAGCCUGAAGCCACGAAAGAGGAGCUCAGUCAGAAGAAAGAAGGAAAGCUGGAGGUCCCAUAGGAUGAGAAAGAAAGGAAGGGAGGAAGGAGGGGAGGCCCAGGGAGGGGUCCAGCGCCGGAAGCCAGGGAGUGCCGAAGGAGAGGAUGGGCUACAAAUGGCGCAGAAAGAAUUGGAGCCAACUCCUCAGCUGCAUGCUGCAGAUGACCCAACUUGGAUCUGGCGUUGCUGUGGCUCUGGCCUAGGCCGGCGGCAACAGCUCUGAUUAGAACCCUAGCCUGAGAACCUCCAUGUGCCACGGGUGUGACCCUAAAAAGACAAAAAAAAAAAAAAAAAA